rnacentral:rRNA from 1 species
CCUACGGGAGGCAGCAGUGAGGAAUAUUGGUCAAUGGGCGGAAGCCUGAACCAGCCAAGUAGCGUGCGGGAUGAAGGCCCUACGGGUCGUCAACCGCUUUUGCAUGGGGAUAACACCCUCCACUUGUGGCGGUCUGCAGGUACCGUGCGAAUAAGGGCCGGCUAAUUCCGUGCCAGCAGCCGCGGUAAUCCGGAAGGCCCGAGCGUUGUCCGGAUUCAUUGGGCUUAAAGGGAGCGUAGGCGGGCGUUCAAGUCAGCUGUAAAAUCGCGCGGCUCAACCGCGCCCCGCAGUUGAAACUGGACGCAUUGAGUUAACAACAGGCAGGUGGAAGUCGUGGUGUAGCGGUGAAAUGCAGAGAUAUCACGAGGAACCCCGAUUGCGAAGGCAGCCUGCCGGGGUGCGACUGACGCUGAGGCUCGAAGGUGCGGGUAUCAAACAGGAUUAGAUACCCCUGUAGUC